rnacentral:rRNA from 1 species
GAUGAACGCUGGCGGCGUGCCUAAUACAUGCAAGUCGAACGCAUAGCGAAAGGUGCUUGCACCUUUCAAGUGAGUGGCGAACGGGUGAGUAACACGUGGACAACCUGCCUCAAGGCUGGGGAUAACAUUUGGAAACAGAUGCUAAUACCGAAUAAAACUUAGUGUCGCAUGACACAAAGUUAAAAGGCGCUUCGGCGUCACCUAGAGAUGGAUCCGCGGUGCAUUAGUUAGUUGGUGGGGUAAAGGCCUACCAAGACAAUGAUGCAUAGCCGAGUUGAGAGACUGAUCGGCCACAUUGGGACUGAGAAACGGCCCAAACUCCUACGGGAGGCUGCAGUAGGGAAUCUUCCACAAUGGGCGAAAGCCUGAUGGAGCAACGCCGCGUGUGUGAUGAAGGCUUUCGGGUCGUAAAGCACUGUUGUAUGGGAAGAACAGCUAGAAUAGGAAAUGAUUUUAGUUUGACGGUACCAUACCAGAAAGGGACGGCUAAAUACGUG